rnacentral:rRNA from 1 species
AGAGUUUGAUCCUGGCUCAGAGUGAACGCUGGCGUGGUUAAGACAUGCAAGUCGAGCGAGAAGUUAGUAGCCUGCUACUAACGGAGAGCGGCAAACGGGUGCGUAACACGUAAACAAUCUACCCUUAAGAUCGGGAUAGCCCUUGGAAACGAGGAUUAAUACCGGAUGUGGUUGUCUUCUGCAUGGAAGAUUCACUAAAGCUUGUAAUGGCGCUUAAGGAGGAGUUUGCGGCCUAUCAGCUAGUUGGUGAGGUAACUGCUCACCAAGGCUAAGACGGGUAGCGGGUCUGAGAGGAUGAUCCGCCACACUGGAACUGAGACACGGUCCAGACACCUACGGGUGGCAGCAGUCUCGAAUCAUCCACAAUGGGCGCAAGCCUGAUGGUGCAACGCCGCGUGGGGGAUGAAGGCCUUCGGGUCGUAAACCCCUGUCAUCAAGGAACAAAAAACUGUGAAGAGCAGUCUUGAGCUAACUUGAAGAGGAAGAGGUGGCUAACUCCGUGCCAGCAGCCGCGGUAAUACGGAGACCUCAAGCGUUACUCGGAUUCACUGGGCGUAAAGGAUGCGUAGGUGGUAAUAUAUGUCAGGUGUGAAAUCCCAGGGCUCAACUCUGGAACUGCGCCUGAAACUAUAUUACUAGAGACUAGGAGGGGCAAGCGGAAUUCCAGGUGUAGCGGUGAAAUGCGUAGAUAUCUGGAGGAACACCAAUGGCGAAGGCAGCUUGCUGGACUAGAUCUGACACUGAGGCAUGAAAGCGUGGGUAGCGAAAGGGAUUAGAUACCCCUGUAGUCCACGCCGUAAACGUUGUACACUAGGUUUCGGCAGAUUCGACCCUGUCGGAGCUCAAGCUAACGUGAUAAGUGUACCGCCUGAGGACUACGGCCGCAAGGCUAAAACUCAAAGGAAUUGACGGGGGCUCGCACAAGCGGUGGAGCAUGUGGCUUAAUUCGAUGCAACGCGAAGAACCUUACCUGGAUUUGACAUGUAGUGGGCGACUCGGUGAAAGCUGAGUUUUCCUUCGGGACUGCUACACAGGUGCUGCAUGGCUGUCGUCAGCUCGUGUCGUGAGAUGUUCGGUUAAGUCCGGCAACGAGCGCAACCCUCGCCCUUAGUUACCAGCGGUUCGGCCGGGAACUCUAAGGGGACAAACUGUUUUACAGUGGGAAGGUGGGGAUGAUGUCAAGUCAGUAUGGCCCUUACAUCCAGGGCUGCACACGUGCUACAAUGCCUGGUUCAAUUAGACGCGAAACCGCGAGGUGGAGCAAAUCUGUAAAGCCAGGCUCAGUUCGGAUUGAAGUCUGCAACUCGACUUCAUGAAGCCGGAAUCGCUAGUAAAGGCGUAUCAGCUACGACGCCUUGAAUACGUUCCCGAGCCUUGUACACACCGCCCGUCAAGUCACGGAAGCCGGUUUUGCCCAAAGUGCGUGAGCUAACUCUUCGGAGAGGCAGCGCCCUAAGGUGAGGCUGGCAACUGGGACUAAGUCGAAACAAGGUA